UGGCUCCCGUAGGAGUCCGGGCGGAGUCUUCCUGCAACCAGAGUUGGGGAUGAGGUCCGGCCCCCAUAGGAGUCCGGGCGAAGUCUACCUGUAAUUAAAGUCAGGGGCGAAGUCUGGCUCCCUUAGGAGUCCGGACGAAGCUUACCAGCAGUCGAGGUUGAGGAUGGUGCCCGGCUCCCGUAGGAGUCUGGGCGAAGCCUUCCAGCA
rnacentral:lncRNA from 1 species